AUAGAGCAACAGCUUCUAUGCAGUUUUAAGGGCCCCGUUAAUCUCCUUCGUCGCCAAACAUAGAGAGAUUAUCGGGGUUUUUGCUU
rnacentral:antisense_RNA from 1 species